rnacentral:lncRNA from 1 species
CCUGGGGCCGAUUCGCAGCCGAGAUCCGGGACCCAUGCAAGAAGACCCGGGUCUGGCUCGGCACCUUCGAUUCUGCCGAGGACGCUGCGCGUGCCUACGAUGCCGCCGCCGUAGCCCUUCGCGGCACGAAGGCCAAGACCAAUUUCCCCUCCUUACCGUCCGCCUUCCCCCCGGCCCCUCUCCCCGCCGCCGCCGCCCACUUCCCUUUCUAUCACCAGCAUCAGCACCACCCGCCGCCUCCCCCUCAGCGGCCGACGUCCAGCAGCCACAGCAGCACCGUGGAGUCCUUCAGCGGCCCGCGGCACCCCUCCGCGGCGGCGCCGAUCCACAUGCGGCCGCGGAUCCUUAGGAAGCAGAUCAACCCCCCGCCACCCCCGCGCGUACUCAACGGCGACGAUGACUGCCACAGCGACUGCGGCUCCUCUUCCUCCGUCGUCGAUGACGACGGUGACAUCGUGUCGUUGUGCCGGCAGCCGCUGGCUUUCGACCUCAACCUCCUUCCGCCCUCGGAGGACGACCUCCACGAUACGGCUCUCCGCCUCUGAUGUCCGAUCCCGGGGCUGAGAGAAGGGAAAAGCUAAAAGAAAUGGUUAUUUCCUUCUCUCCUUGCCGUUUCGCCUAUCUACUCUCAUAAAUACUUUCGAU